ACGGAAGGCAACAAGGUUCGAGGCACUGAACUUGGACCUUUUCUCUCUGGAAUGGCCAUGACGUUGACUAUUGAAGACUGCUGUAUUCAUCUUGAGUGUUUGGAGCACAAUGAUACAACUGUUCAACCUAUUUGAUAUGGAUUUCUCCUAUUCGGAAGAAAUUUCAACAACUUCACUUCUAACUUAAACACAUUCAUCGACUAGCCUGGCCAACAUGGUGAAACCCCGUGUCUACUAAAAAUACAAAAAUUAGCUGGGCGUGGUGGCAUAUGCCUGUAGUCCCAGCUACUUGGGAGGCUGAGGCAGAAGAAUCACUUGAACCUGGGAGGCAGAGGUUGCAGCAAGCCGAGAUUGUGCCAUUGCACUCCAGCCUGGGCGACAAGAGCAAAACUCCGUCUCAAAAAAUAAAUAAACAAACACAUAUAACACUGUCAAAAUAAGGAGAAACUUUCUUUCCCACAUUGAAAGUCAUUGAUGUUUUCCUUAAAAGCAUUGUAUCAUGUUUGUAUUCUUUAACAAUCAAAAAGAAUCAUUGUCU
rnacentral:lncRNA from 10 species